AUUGAACGCUGGCGGAAUGCUUUACACAUGCAAGUCGAACGGCAGCACGGACUUCGGUCUGGUGGCGAGUGGCGAACGGGUGAGUAAUGUAUCGGAACGUGCCCAGUCGUGGGGGAUAACGUAGUGAAAAUUACGCUAAUACCGCAUACGAUCUAUGGAUGAAAGCGGGGGAUCGCAAGACCUCGCGCGAUUGGAGCGGCCGAUAUCAGAUUAGGUAGUUGGUGGGGUAAAGGCCCACCAAGCCAACGAUCUGUAGCUGGUCUGAGAGGACGACCAGCCACACUGGAACUGAGACACGGUACAGACUCCUACGGGAGGCAGCAGUGGGGAAUUUUGGACAAUGGGCGAAAGCCUGAUCCAGCCAUUCCGCGUGCAGGAUGAAGGCCCUCGGGUUGUAAACUGCUUUUGUACAGAACGAAAAGGUUUCUACUAAUACUAGGAGCUCACGACGGUACUGUAAGAAUAAGCACCGGCUAACUACGUGCCAGCAGCCGCAGUAA
rnacentral:rRNA from 1 species